UACGUAGGGUGCGAGCGUUAAUCGGAAUUACUGGGCGUAAAGCGUGCGCAGGCGGUUUUGUAAGCCAGAUGUGAAAUCCCCGGGCUUAACCUGGGAAUGGCAUUUGGGACUGCAAGGCUUGAGUGCGGCAGAGGAGACUGGAAUUCCUGGUGUAGCAGUGAAAUGCGUAGAUAUCGGGAGGAAUACCGAUGGCGAAGGCAGGUCUCUGGGCUGACACUGACGCUCAUGCACGAAAGCGUGGGGAGCAAACAGG
rnacentral:rRNA from 1 species